UCCUGGCCACGACAUUCACCAUCCUUAUGGGAACUUUACAUAAUCUGUUCAUGGCAGAUUAGUUUACAUGUAUUCUUAAACCAAAAAAAGUGUUUUAGUGCAUUGCCAAAAUCAAAGCAGCUGAACUCUGCUCUGUUAUUUCUAUAUGCCCCCUGACUAAUGAAACACCAGGAUCUUCUCUACUCCUCUGUCUAAUGGGUCAGUGCAGACAGUACAUGUUUAUCCUGUGCCAGCAACUGGAGAUGCAAGACCAAGAAGGGAAGGACUGGCAGCAUGGAGACUUCCUCCAAGCACUUCUGCCUGAAGGGAGACAGGCCUGCAGGAAGCUGAGGUGGGAGAUAAAGAAUUUUAAAAUAACACCAGCCUGACCCUUUUUGAAAGGGGGAAUAUUUCUGAACCCUGAGAGAAAGCUAAGGCCUUGAGUUCAAUGAUGAGAAUGGGAGAGAUAGGAGGAGUCAGCAGAAAGGAAGCAGUGAAUCAGGAGAUGCACCUGAGGGGAACAAGAUUAGCUCCAGGGUGCAUAAAUUUCAUCACACCAGUCAAAUAACUAAUGAUCAAUUGUGGAGGAGGAAGGUGGCAGACACCCUGUUGCACCUGGACAUAAAAAGGCUGUCAAGCUGAUUGCAUCUUUCUUGUGAAAGUGUCUUAGACUCCCUAAACCAGAUCAUGACUUGAUGGUUCUACCUUCUUGCUACAUAGGUCCUCAUUGUUUAAACCUGGCAUUUUGUAAUAGCAGAGGCAGUCUACGAUUAGUCAGCUGGCAGAGAGCAGCUAGCAGAGCAGUAUCAUUCUGGCCACUUACAAAGGUGUAGAAGUUGCCAUCAUUUCAAUGCUAUGCUUGGAGGAUCCUGUUUACUAGAAACAAAGCUCUCUGAUUCCACUCUGUUAAGUGAGAUCAAUGAUUCCCCUUUCAGUGAGGAUCAGAUGUUUCCAAACAGUAUUUUGAAGAUCUAGCACUAAAGAAGUGCUGAUGAUUAUAUUGUUUGGGGGAGGGGACAUUACUACAGUGUACUAUUGGUAUUUUAAUUAGCAGGCUCUUCAUCUAAUUUAUUAGAGGCUGUUUUGUCAUCAAUCAGCACAGUGCCUGGCUUGUGGGGAAUUCCCCCACUCUAAAAAUGAAGCAGGUUUGCCGCCUGUCCCACACAUCCACAAAAAUCCAUUCUGAUCUGAAAGUGUGGUUCUGCUCUGAAAAUGGAAAAUUUUAAUCUCCUUACAUUGCAGAUGUUCUCCUUUGUGUAUUGAUGUCUGAGCUGCUUUCUUUAGUGACUAAAAUCAAGUUUUUUUAAAUGCCACUUUACUGCUGUCAACUCUUCAGAUCCAGCUCAGCUGUGCAAGUGAGCUUGCAGCUGUUCCUUCUCAAUAUUGUUACUACUAAGUACCAGUUAUCAGGCCAGACAGUCAUUCUUGAACAAACCCAGUAAAGGCAGUAGCCAGGUUAGGACAGGUAUCAUUAGGAGCUUAAUUGGAUGAGUUUAGGUUGUAUUGGUUUUACUGAGAGCUGAUUUUGGUAGCAAUCCAUGAGAAGGACAGAAGCCAGCUUGACUCUCAGAUCUAAGGAUGAGUUUAUAACUGGCACUUAUGAAAAAAAAAUCACUUGCAAGCUGAGCACAUUUGACAUGGAAGUCAGAGAAACAGCCACACCUUUGGCUUGUACAGUCCCUUUUCAGAGAGAUGAAUGCUGACUGCAGUUUGAGAAAGCCAACAGUAGGUGGUAGCAGAUCACAACUUCCAGAGCCAGUUUCUUAUUGAAAAGUUGACAGGCCCUUGGAGAAGGCCUCUUGGGUGGGGUCUGCGUCAUGGCUUGUCAAGACAAUUGGUGCUUUGAAGCCCCCCUGCUUGGAAAAUGCUGCUGACCCUGUGCAGUGAGUCUUCAUUUGGUGGAGUCUUCAUCUGUUCUUACACUGAAGAGUAAAGAGUUGGGAUAAAGGUAAAGGGAACAUGGUUCUCCGUGAGAGCAAGAGGCUGAAAUGGAAAAGUUAAAAUCAUGGACCAAGAACAGGAUAGGGGGCUAUUUUUAUUCCUGGUCACUGCUCCAUCUAUCUCUCCAUUUUUUUCCCUAUGCCGUUUAAUCUCUAACUUGGAGCCCCAGAGCCAGCGCGGUGUUACAACAGUUUUGUCAUGUUGGCUGUCACAGCGUUGACAGCCCCGUGACAGGUGGCAGAUGUGCCGAUGAUGGAUGUUUUCUCCCCUGUGCAAGGACGAUGGGAUAAAAGUGCAAACAAACCGGGUAAUAGAUGAGAAAAGCAGAGCCAUGUUGAUAAGGCCCGGUCCACGCUCUAUGAUGUAUGGGAAAGCAAGCUGUGGGCAAUUUGUUUCAGAGAAAUGAGAGACUCUCUUUUUAGAGAGAGGGAUGCAAUGAAAUGACAAAAAGGAAAAGAAAAUA